rnacentral:misc_RNA from 1 species
GAUGAAGACGUAGCGAAAUGCGAUAAGUAAUGUGAAUUGCAGAAUUCAGUGAAUCAUCGAAUCUUUGAACGCAUCUUGCACUCCUUGGUAUUCUGAGGAGCAUGCCUGUUUGAGUGUCAUUAAAUUCUCAACUACACUGACUUUGAAUUGGUGUGGCUUGGAUUUGGGGGGAAAAUUGUUGUGGGCUUUUUGUAUAGUCUGCUCCCCUGAAAUUGAUUAGCGGUACCUUUGUGGAACUGUCUACAGGUGUGAUAAUUAUCUACAUCUUAGACAUCUGCUGGAAUGCUGCUUUCUAAACCUUACUUGUAUUGACAAUCUUGACCUCAAAUCAGGUAGGACUACCCGCUGAACUUAAGCAUAUCAAUAAGCGGAGGA